rnacentral:rRNA from 1 species
AGAGUUGAUCAUGGCUCAGGAUGAACGCUAGCUACAGGCUUAACACAUGCAAGUCGAGGGGCAUCAUGAUCUAAGCUUGCUUAGAUUGAUGGCGACCGGCGCACGGGUGAGUAACGCGUAUCCAACCUUCCCUAUAGUAGAGGAUAGCCCGGCGAAAGUCGGAUUAAUACUCUAUGUUUUCCAAUGCAGACAUCUAAGUUGGAACAAAGGUUUACCGCUAUAGGAUGGGGAUGCGUCUGAUUAGAUAGUAGGCGGGGUAACGGCCCACCUAGUCGACGAUCAGUAGGGGUUCUGAGAGGAAGGUCCCCCACAUUGGAACUGAGACACGGUCCAAACUCCUACGGGAGGCAGCAGUGAGGAAUAUUGGUCAAUGGGCGAGAGCCUGAACCAGCCAAAGUAGCGUGCAGGAUGACGGCCCUAUGGGUUGUAAACUGCUUUUAUCGGGGGAUAAAGUGAGGGACGUGUCCCUUAUUGUAGGUACCCGAUGAAUAAGGACCGGCUAAUUCCGUGCCAGCCGCCGC